UACGUAGGGUGCAAGCGUUGUCCGGAAUUAUUGGGCGUAAAGAGCUCGUAGGCGGCUUGUCGCGUCGGCUGUGAAAACCUGGGGCUCAACCCCGGGCCUGCAGCCGAUACGGGCAAGCUAGAAUUCGGUAGGGGAGACUGGAAUUCCCGGUGUAGUGGUGAAAUGCGUAGAUAUCGGGAGGAACACCAGUGGCGAAGGCGGCUUCCUGGCCUGUUCUUGACGCUGAGGCGCGAAAGCUAGGGGAGCAAACGGG
rnacentral:rRNA from 1 species